rnacentral:rRNA from 1 species
GCAUGUCUAAGUAUAAGCAACUUGUACUGUGAAACUGCGAAUGGCUCAUUAAAUCAGUUAUCGUUUAUUUGAUAGUACCUUACUACAUGGAUACCUGUGGUAAUUCUAGAGCUAAUACAUGCUAAAAACCCCGACUUCAGGAAGGGGUGUAUUUAUUAGAUAAAAAACCAACGCCCUUCGGGGCUCCUUGGUGAAUCAUAAUAACUUAACGAAUCGCAUGGCCUUGCGCCGGCGAUGGUUCAUUCAAAUUUCUGCCCUAUCAACUUUCGAUGGUAGGAUAGUGGCCUACCAUGGUGGCAACGGGUAACGGGGAAUUAGGGUUCGAUUCCGGAGAGGGAGCCUGAGAAACGGCUACCACAUCCAAGGAAGGCAGCAGGCGCGCAAAUUACCCAAUCCCGAUACGGGGAGGUAGUGACAAUAAAUACUGAUACGGGGCUCUUUUGGGUCUCGUAAUUGGAAUGAGAACAAUUUAAAUCCCUUAACGAGGAACAAUUGGAGGGCAAGUCUGGUGCCAGCAGCCGCGGUAAUUCCAGCUCCAAUAGCGUAUAUUAAAGUUGUUGCAGUUAAAAAGCUCGUAGUUGAACCUUGGGUCUGGCUGGCCGGUCCGCCUCACCGCGAGUACUGGUCCGGCUGGACCUUUCCUUCUGGGGAACCCCAUGGCCUUCACUGGCUGUGGGGGGAACCAGGACUUUUACUGUGAAAAAAUUAGAGUGUUCAAAGCAGGCCUUUGCUCGAAUACAUUAGCAUGGAAUAAUAGAAUAGGACGUGUGGUUCUAUUUUGUUGGUUUCUAGGACCGCCGUAAUGAUUAAUAGGGAUAGUCGGGGGCGUCAGUAUUCAGCUGUCAGAGGUGAAAUUCUUGGAUUUGCUGAAGACUAACUACUGCGAAAGCAUUCGCCAAGGAUGUUUUCAUUAAUCAGGGAACGAAAGUUAGGGGAUCGAAGACGAUCAGAUACCGUCGUAGUCUUAACCAUAAACUAUGCCGACUAGGGAUCGGACGGGAUUCUAUAAUGACCCGUUCGGCACCUUACGAGAAAUCAAAGUUUUUGGGUNNNUGGGGG